UAACGGCCGCGGUACCCUAACCGUGCGAAGGUAGCAUAAUCACUUGUUCUUUAAAUAGGGACUAGUAUCAACGGCAUCACGAGGGUUACACUGUCUCCUUUCUCCAAUCAGUGAAACUGAUCUCUUCGUGAAGAAGCGAAGAUAUAACUAUUAGACGAGAAGACCCCAUGGAGCUUUAAGCUCAACAACAAUUUUUAUAAAAAUAAUCCUUCACAAUACACAAACCCUGUUUGUUAGCUUUAGGUUGGGGUGACCGCGGAGUAUAACUUAACCUCCACAACGAAAAGGCAUAAAACCCUUAUCCAAGAGCCACUGCUCUAAGAAUCACUAAAUUGACGUACAAUGAUCCGAUUAUCGAUCAACGGACUAAGUUACCCUGGGGAUAACAGCGCAAUCCAUUUUUAGAGCCCCUAUCGACAAA
rnacentral:rRNA from 1 species